CCUACGGGAGGCAGCAGUGAGGAAUAUUGGUCAAUGGGCGGGAGCCUGAACCAGCCAAGUCGCGUGAGGGAAGACGGUCCUAUGGAUUGUAAACCUCUUUAGGCGGGGAGCAAUGCCGGGCACGCGUGCCCGGAGGGAGAGUACCCGCAGAAUAAGCAUCGGCUAACUCCGUGCCAGCAGCCGCGGUAAUACGGAGGAUGCGAGCGUUAUUCGGAUUGAUUGGGUUUAAAGGGUGCGUAGGCGGAUUUUUAAGUCAGCGGUAAAAUGUCCGGGCUCAACCCGGGCCGGCCGUUGAAACUGGGGAUCUUGAGUGGGCGAGAAGUAUGCGGAAUGCGUGGUGUAGCGGUGAAAUGCAUAGAUAUCACGCAGAACUCCGAUUGCGAAGGCAGCAUACCGGCGCCCGACUGACGCUGAGGCACGAAAGCGUGGGGAUCGAACAGGAUUAGAUACCCGAGUAGUC
rnacentral:rRNA from 1 species